AUUGUUCGCAAUGGGCGCAAGCCUGACGACGCAACGCCGCGUGGAGGAUGAAGACCUUCGGGUCGUAAACUCCUUUCGACCGAGAUGAACACCUGUCGACCUAAUACGUUGACAGGCUGACAGUACCGAGGGAAGAAGCCCCGGCUAACUCCGUGCCAGCAGCCGCGGUAAUACGGAGGGUGCAAGCGUUGUUCGGAAUUAUUGGGCGUAAAGCGCGCGCAGGCGGUCGAAAAAGUCUAUGGGUAAAAGGCCGGGGCUCAACCCCGUGUACGCCCAGGAUACUGUUCGACUGGAGACACGUAGAGGCAAGCGGAAUUUCGGGUGUAGCGGUGGAAUGCGUAGAUAUCCGAAAGAACACCGGAGGCGAAGGCGGCUUGCUGGGCGUGAUCUGACGCUGAGGCGCGAAAGCGUGGGGAGCGAAC
rnacentral:rRNA from 1 species